rnacentral:rRNA from 1 species
UACCAGCACCCCGAGUGGUCGGGACGUUUAUUGGGCCUAAAGCAUCCGUAGCCGGUUCUACAAGUCUUCCGUUAAAUCCACCUGCUUAACAGAUGGGCUGCGGAAGAUACUAUAGAGCUAGGAGGCGGAGAGGCAAGCGGUACUCGAAUGGUAGGUAAUCCGUUGAUCCAUUGAAGACCACCAGUGGCGAAGGCGGCUUGCCAGAACGCGCUCGACGGUGAGGAUG